rnacentral:lncRNA from 1 species
ACAAAGUAAUACGUGCUUCAUAAACGACCACGUUUCUUUUGUAGCUGAAUCUGCUUUUCAGAGGCUGUAAAGUAAAACAACAGAGAAAUCUGCUGAAAACAUGCAAAGCCUGAUAGAUAACAAACUAUCCUUGGAUAAAGAAAACUGGGUUUUUCCCCCAUAAUCUUUCCAAAUAAAAGAUAUUAAGUAAGACAUCUCUAGCAUAUAUCUGUCUUAGUCCAUUGAAUGUCACUCAUAAGACUGUAAAUAUUUAUGGCUGGUAGGAAUCAUGAAGGGCUUCUAGACUUUCUGUUAGAGAUGAAGAGAAUAGAGCUCUAAGAAGUGAGGUGUUGCAUCAAAGGUCACAGUCAGUGUGUACGUGUGUGUGUGUUUUGUUUUCCACAUGAGAGUAACUUGUCUUCCAAUAUAGAACUGCUAUAGGAUUAACAUGUAGUUUAUGACUUAAUAGUAGUAAAGCCUAACCAUGACAUCUCAUUUUUUUUUCUCCAAAUAACUUACUGAGGUUGAGGAUGUCAUUAUUUUCAUUGAAAUAAAGGUUUAAAGAAUUGAAUGAUUCACAAUUUUGGAGUUUCUCAUUUAUGGGACAGAACUCAAGCUGGCUCCUUCCAAAGCUCUUUUGUUCUGCAGCCUCUCAUCUAGUUAAGGAGAACACAAUCAAGUCAUCAGUUUAAUAAACACAGGAUACCUCUCAUAAUUGUCAGCUUUGGCAAAGGAUCCUCAUCCUCGUGGGAAGGAGCCUUGACAAUUGGAGUGUAAGUCCAAUGUGCAGCAUGGAUAUAGCACCACUCUUAAAUUCAAUAUCUUAUAGGUGACUGACGAUAUUGUAAGAGAGGAAACGAGGUAGUGAUGGCCUUAGUGAAUUAAUAAAGAGAUCCUUCUGUGGUUCUAGAGAUAUUUAUACAUCUCCAGGUUUAAAACAGUGGAGAAGUAACAGGCGUCAAGUCUCUCCCCAAAUAAGGUAUAAACGGACUAAUCAAUAUUCAUAGAAUCUUGUUAUCCCAGUAGUUUUAAAAAAUUAGUUAACUGUAUGAAAUUUGUGGUAGUAAUUUAUAUAAAAUAUGCUAUUAACUUAUGUUCUCCGGCUUUAGUAACUAACCCCUCCCAUGUAACCACAAAAAUAUCUAAGGAGAAUAUUAUGCCACAUUCUUUUAAGAAGCAUCUCUUCAUAAAGAGUUAAAAAUCCAUUCGCUUUGAAUAGAUGUUCCUACUUUCCCAGGACCUGAUGGUGUUGUUAAAUCUAGGAGGUCGUAUUAUUUUUGUGAAUAAUACACAGGGAUUUAACUGUGCAUCUUCUGCAAAUAAUAAUGGAAGAUGAAUGUAUAAAUCCUUGAAUACAAUGCAAAUGAAUGUCACCCUUAAGGAGAAGGAGGACACGGAUGUGUGUAUGAGUUUCUCAUUCGAGUAAGUUUCCCCUCAAUAAAUGACAUGCAAUUGCAUAUUUAACUAGAGAUGCCUACUCUAAGGUAAAUCAAAAUGUUCAUCCUUCCCUUAAAUUCCUAUAAGAAACAUUAAAGUAAUCAACAACAGCCUUCCCCUCUCCCCAGGUCUAUGUACAUUUUUGCAGGGAAAAAAACUAUAUACACAGGGAGAGAGAAAGAGAAGAAGGACAGAGGUGAAAACUACUUCUGUUCAUAAAACGCAGUUUUUUACAUACCAUCCUGUAAAAUGACUUUGAAGUUCCCAAAUAAGAACUGUAGCCAGCAAUGCAUGUGAAAUAGUUUCACUGUUGUAAACUACGAAAAUACUGCUUUUCUAAAAGCAAAGAGAAGGGGAUUCUGGAAAAAUUUGGAAAGAAAUUGGACCCUUUGAAUGAUUAAAAAUCAUUAAAUCUUUUAAUGAAAUAGCAACAGAAGCUUAAUCAUUGUAAGUUUAAGAUAUCAAAAGCAUUUGAGCAUCUAGCCUCUCUGAGUCUCUCAUUUGUCAGCCCCAAAUAUUUUUUUUUGAUAUUCCCUGAUUGUCUAUUUUUCCCCAGUGAAAGUUAUUACAUUCCUUUACCCAUUUUUUAAUCAAAAUCAUUUCCAACUUAUUUCGGUCUGUCACAAUAAUAUUUUCAUACGAGGAGUAUUGUAACCUAAUUCCUUCAUUUGAAUAAUACAUUCAUUUUUAAUUACUGCAACUUGAUCUCAGAUUAUUCAAAUAACUGUUUCAUUUUUUAUGCUUACCCUGACCCCAGUGUAUUUAUAGGCUUUUAUCCUUACCUGAUACCAGUGUAAUGUAAUUAUAGAUUGUAUUUUAAUCAUCUACUAUAUUCUAGUGAGUUUGUUUAAAUCGCUCCAAUCCUGAGCCUUUUAUUUCUAUGCCUUUUAAAAUUCUACAAUGGCAUUCUCUUUGCAUAAAAGCAAUAUUUUUGUAGUUUACAACAAUGAAUGAAUAUUUUGCAUGCAUUGCUAGCUAUGGUUCUCAUUUAAUAAUUUUAAAGUCACUAUAUAGGACAGCAUAUAAAAUCAAAUCAUGCUUUGUAAACAGAAGGAGAAGUACAUUGUAUAUCAUUUGAAAUCUUUACAGCUGUUUGUUUUCCAGAUUGCCCCCCUCCCAUCCCCACGGCUUUAAAACCACAGAUAGGCAUUAUGUUCGUGAUCAUUGUAGCUGCGUCUGGUUAUUCAAAUCCCUGUAAAUAGCUGCCCUGUUGUUACAACAGAGGCCAAAUUUCAUUUGUGGUAGAAUAGGCUUCUCUGAUAUGGAUUACUUUUAUUAGUAUUUUUACUAUUGAUCAUUUCCUAAUGGCUUGAUUAUUUUCUAAAUUAUCACAGCAUCAAGAAAAUCCAUUCUCUCUAAGCUCCUUUAGGCCAGUAUCUGAGCUCUUGGCACGAUGGCUGAUUUCAGCCACGCAUUUAACAAUGAACCAGGAAUCUGGUCUGAGAAGGUGGCUGACAAUGCUGGGGAUCUAUCAAGGCCUAGCAUUCCUCUUCUGAUCAGACAUACAGGCCUGAGAAAUGGAUUUCCCUGGGUGAGUCUGAUUAUCUUCUCAAAAUCCUGGAAUCAUUAGAUUUCUCAUUGUUCUCACUCCUUACAGCCAAUCAAUCAUUAAAUCCUGCCAAUUCUGCAUCCAAGGUAUCUUUCAAAUCUCUCUCCCCUUUUCCUCCUCUCCUGAUGCUUACUCACUUACCCAGUUCAGAUCAGGUCAAAUUUAGCUCACAAGGGUUACCUACCUCCUAUCUUAUCAUCCUAUGUCCUAUGUUAGACUUUCCCAAUCUGUCCUCCACCCUUUUGAAAGAAUGCAUGGCUUAAAAAAAAUGCAUGGCUAUGCACAAACUUGAUCCUGUUCCCACCCUCAGUUAAAAUUGUUGAAUGGCUCUCCAUGCCUACAAGAGGGAACUCAGGGUAUUUAUCGUGAUAUCCUAGCGGUAGAACAUCACCCUGGCUAUCACUUUUGAUUAUGAGGAAUCAAUCUGAUCUCAACGGAUAACAUGUAAUUGUACAUACAAGUAAGAUUCUGGGAAGGAACAUGGAUGAGUGAGAGGUUCUAAAGCCUUGAGCUCCGACAUUAAUGGUUAACAAAAGAUGGAACUGUUCAUAAAUCAAUGCUGGUUAUGACAGAUCAAAUCUUCCAAAUGUCUGUUUAUGGAUUAGACUUCCUCUCUCCCCCUCCAUGUUCUAUACUUCAUUCUUAAUCCCCUCUUUUAUUCAAACUAGAUAAAACUACGGCAAUAAAUGCCUUAAAGAUAAAUACAAUGCAGAGAGUAGAAUGUAAUUUUAAACCACUGACUUCUUUCACAUGCAGGUCAACCACUGAGAUUUUGGCGAAGCUUUCAUUCAUUGUUGAAUACAUUACAUGAGGUCUCUUGGAAAUUAACUUCCAGAAAUGCUAGUGACAAAUUAUUAAAGUGUAAAUAAGAGGACCAAAAUGUUUGCCAAAAAUAUCAGAAACAAGAGGCCAUUCUUCCUGCCUUUUGCUCCUAUUGUAUAUUCUGCGUGCUAAUUAAAGGACACGUGAACUUAUUUAACUGCUUAGUGGUUAGAAAGAACCCGGAGAAUCUGGAAAAUACAUUUACCAUUACUCAAUAUCUCAGAAUGCAAAAUAAAAUAAUGGCAUGAAAUGGGAAUUUGGGGACACACUGCCCGCUAACUCUCAUAAACGAAUCAUGCUGCUUUUUCCAGCUUCCGUGCAGAAAAGCAUGCUUCCCUUUGGGAUUUCUUCUACCAUUUGGUGCCACAUUCACUUGGCUAUAAUAGCACAAGCUUCAUUAGAGAAGUAAAAUGCAAUUGUCUCCACGAGAUCAAAGGACAAUCUAUUAAGUAAAGCAACUGGAACUCUAGAAUGAAAUAAUACAAAAAGUUAGAAUUUUAUGGUGAAUCAAAAUGUGAAUCAUACUGGCCUCGUGCAGCUAAAUGCAGAACUGAAGAUUAGCUUUAUUAAGGGGAAACCGAAAGUGGCUUGAAUGAUCUGGAAAAAAACAUGAAAAGAUACAUGGAUUCUAAACAACCUGUUUAUGUACUAGAUUAAACUUAGCCUUGGUGCUAUUUCAGUAAAUUUGAAAGCCCUGCUGGUUAAGUAUGAAAGUACUAAGAAAUGUAGACCCAAAAUAACAGCUAUUACGGUUUUUAUAGCAAAGUCCAUAUUCAAUGAUUCAGUGACCUAGAAAGGAUAGUUUAUGUUAAAAUAAAACAAAACAAAGCCUGUAUUCAUUACAUGAACUGUGUUGAGAAGGGACGUAAGUGACACGCUGUAGAGUGACCACUUACUUGCUCCUGAAGUCUGUUAAGAAUUUUGCUCUUAAAUGAAAUACAGAAUUUAGUAUAAACUGUUUAAAAUCAAAGGUCUUUCUGAAUUCUGAAAGCUGGAGCCCAUGUUUGCCUGAAGGAAAGGGAGAAAGGUGGAGACAGGUAAAUCAAACUUCUCUGCACAUUAGGGGUUCUGAAUUUGACUUCUUUUCAAAUGCUUAUUGAAUAUUUGGUGUGUUUUAUUCUAAAUGGAAAUGACAGAUUCUAAAACACCUUACUGUGUAUUUCAUUGCAUUCCAUCACUUAAGUCAUGUACAGAAUUGUAUAAAAUUACCUUGAAAUUGCAUCAUGUAUAGCAAUGUACCAUGAAACUAAAAGAAAAAAAAAUCAUUAAAAAAAAACAUUUCAUUUUGCAAAGGAAAUAUAAUAGAGUCCAGGGUCUAAGAAUAAAAGUUACCCCCUUUCACGUUCUUGAGCAAAUCCAUCUCAUUACAACAUUCUUUGAAUUAAUAGAAGACUGAGAUAUGUUUUUAAAAGAAAACAGUAAGUUGAAAAAAAUAUUGAUUCAAUGAAUUAUUGAUGAAAUUAAUAGUUAAAGGAAGUUCCCGUCAUGGCUCAGCAAUGAACCUGACUAUCAUCCAUAAGGACGCAGGUUUGAUCCCUGGCCUUGCUCGGGGGGUUAACAAUCCGGCAUUGCUAUGAGCUGUGGUGUAGGUUUCAGACAUGGCUAGGAUCCUGCGUUGCUGUGGCUGUGGUGCAGGCCAACAGUUAAAGCUCCUAUUCGACCCCUAGCCUGGGAACUUCCAUAUGCCAUGGGUGCGGCUCUGCAAAAAAAAAAAAAAGCAAAAUUAAUAUUUUAUAACUAUUUUAUAAACUUAAUUUUGUAUACCAUCCAAAUUUAAGUAACCUAUUUAAGUAAUCUAUUCUUUUCCGCUACAGAAUCAGAAGAACAUUCCACUGGUAAAAACACAGGAAACAUGAAUGAGUGUCCUAAACUUCCCAAGCAAGAUCCAUUUCUUUUCAUCAAUCAUCAACAUUCUCCAUAUAUUAAUAAAGACACAAUUAGACACAACAUACCAUAUAAUAUAUGGCUAGAGUAUACAUGACUUCGGUCAAUCUAAGAAAAUUAUGAAUGUGCAUAUUUUGGACAUUCUUAUGAGUAUUGAUUAUGUAGACAUAUGACUGGAAAUUGAAAAUUAAUUCUUAUUACAAUUCAAUUUGCAUUACUUCCUAGUGAAUAUGUAUAUAUGGUUAUCUCCUAAGUCUUCAAAUAUUUUCACAAAAUCCAUACUUUCAUCAAAAUAAGUAAUUUUUUUUGGUCUUUUUUGUCUUUUUAGGGUCACACCUGCGACAUAUGGAGGUUCCCAGGCUGGGGUUGAAUCGGAGCUACAACUGCUGGCCAAUGCCACAGCCACAGCAACAGGAUCCAAGCUGCAUCUGCAACCUACACCACAGCUCAUGGCAACGCAGGAUUCUUAAGCCACCGAGCAAGGCCAGGGAUGGAACCUGCGUCCUCAUGGAUGCUAGUCAGAUUCAUUUCCACUGAGCCACGACAGGAACUCC